rnacentral:rRNA from 1 species
AUCAAAAACAUAUUUUUUUGAGUAAAAUAAAAAAUUUAGUCUGCUCUAUGAAAAAUUUAAAUGGCUGCAGUAAUUUUUGACUGUACUAAGGUAGCAUAAUCAUUUGUUUUUUAAAUGGAAACUAGAAUGAAAGAUUGCAUGAAAUAUAAACUUUAUUAAUUUUAUUAAUUAUUGAAAUUAAUUAUUGAGUAAAAAGGCUUAAAUAAAUUUUUUAGACGAGAAGACCCUAUAGAACUUUAUAAAUUAUUUUAUAAAUAAAUUUAUUUGUUUAUGAUAGUUAAUAAAAUAAUUUAUUUUAUUGGGGUAAUAAUAAAAUUUAAUUAAUUUUUAAUAUUUAAUCAAUAAUAAUUGAUUUUAAAAUAAUAAAAAUUAUUUUUUUAUUAAUUAAAAUUAGUUACUUUAGGGAUAACAGCAUAAUUAUAUUUAUAAAAUUUUCAUAUAAGAUAUAG